UACGUAGGGGGCUAGCGUUGUCCGGAAUCAUUGGGCGUAAAGCGCGUGUAGGCGGUUCGGUAAGUCCGCUGUGAAAGUCGGGGGGCUCAACCCUCGAAUGCCGGUGGAUACUGUCGGACUAGAGUACGGAAGAGGCGAGUGGAAUUCCUGGUGUAGCGGUGAAAUGCGCAGAUAUCAGGAGGAACACCAAUUGCGAAGGCAGCUCGCUGGGACGGUUACUGACGCUGAGACGCGAAAGCGUGGGGGAGCAAACAGG
rnacentral:rRNA from 1 species